AACGAACGCUGGCGGCAGGCCUAACACAUGCAAGUCGAGCGAAUCGCAAGGUUAGCGGCGGACGGGUGAGUAACGCGUGGGAACGUGCCCUUUGCUACGGAAUAGCCCUGGGAAACUGGGAGUAAUACCGUAUGUGCCCUUUGGGGGAGAGAUUUAUCGGCAAAGGAUCGGCCCGCGUUGGAUUAGGUAGUUGGUGGGGUAAUGGCCUACCAAGCCGACGAUCCAUAGCUGGCUUGAGAGGAUGAUCAGCCACACUGGGACCGAGACACGGCCCAGACUCCUACGGGAGGCAGCAGUGGGGAAUCUUAGACAAUGGGGGAAACCCUGAUCUAGCCAUGCCGCGUGAGCGAUGAAGGCCUUAGGGUUGUAAAGCUCUUUCAGUGGGGAAGAUAAUGACGGUACCCACAGAAGAAGCCCCGGCUAACUCCGUGCCAGCAGCCGCGGUAA
rnacentral:rRNA from 1 species